CAGUAGCCGCGGUAACACGAACCGUGCGAACGUUAUUCGGAAUUACUGGGCUUAAAGCGCGUGUAGGCGGGCCGCCACGUCGGUUGCUGAAAUCCCCCGGCUCAACCGGGGAAGUGGCAUCGAUACGAGCGGCCUUGAGGGGGGUAGGGGGAUCUGGAACUUCCGGUGGAGCGGUGAAAUGCGUUGAGAUCGGAAAGAACACCAACGGCGAAAGCACUCUGCUGGGCCGACACUGACACUGAGAGACGAAAGCUAGGGGAGCAAAUGGGAUUAGAUACCCCAGUAGUCCCUGUCUCUUAUA
rnacentral:rRNA from 1 species